CACCAAGGGCAGGAUUUCAUCCCUGAUUUGGAGUGAGAACUCCACCUUUUCAGGCUGAGAACCAUGGACUCAGAUUUGGAGUUGCUGAUUCUCAUCCCAUCUGCUUCACACUUGGUUGCGAACUGACGCAGUGAGAGCUGAGGGUGACAGCUCGAUGAAGCCGACAGGACCAUUCACCUCAUUAGUAGAAACAUCUGAUUUACUCUUUGGAACCACUCCAAAGUGAUAUUAUCCGCCAUUAGAGGUUCAGAAAUAAGCAUCAAUUCAACAAGUGCUUAUUUGUAAAACUGCAUUUCACAACAUAUGCAGCUAAUUCUCAACUUCCUGGUUAUUUCAACCUUUUUUUUUUUUUUUUUUUUUUGGUUACAGACCCACAUCUUCAUCAAACUGUCCUCCAUAAAUGAGGGACAGCAUGACCAGAACAAAAGCAUGAUUAUGAAAAUGACUUACUACCAUGUAGAGCACUGCUGAUCUCACAGCAACCCCAAAAAUGAGCUGCAAAAUUAAACCAUAGUGCUGUUAAUCGUGGAGAGGAUUAAGGCUCUUAUCCGACACAUUUUGCCCUAAACAGAAACACUGCAGUUCUUGUGAUCACAUCUGCUGAUUACUGUUGUGCAGCAGAGAAAAACCGAGGGAUCUGCAUGCUGUCAGUCAAGUUUGCGUUGCAAAGUCGGGUUCGACUGCACUUCCAUCCUGAUCCAAGAGAAAAGUUAUUUUGUACAUUGGUAAAUAUUCCAGCUGGUGUAAAUAUACAGUAUUGAUCUGUUUCCCAUCUCUAUUUUUCAAAGCAUUGUUCAUAGCCUGUCCCUAAUAAAGACUGGGUAAGUUUAAUAGAUGAAGCUCAUAAAAGCCUUUGCAGUAAACAUCCCCGUAAAGUCUGAAUUAAUAAGACUGACCGUAGAUAUAUAGAGUCCUGAGUAUAAUUGCUGUGUUUCAAACUAAAAAUGACACAGCAAUGAGCUCUGACUCUCUUUAAUAACCCUUUUUGUACUUCUUAUUGAGCAGUAAAUUGAUUAAGUUCUCGCUGUUGGAUUAAAAAGAGAGUAUGUGAGCAUCACUUCAGAGCCUCCUGUUGAAUAAUCGUCCUCAUUUUUUCCUUUUUUUUUUUUUCUUAUUGCUUUGGGAUUCUUUGCAUAACAGCCAGCAUUUGAAACAAAUGGCUUUCAAUCACAUUUGUUCGAUAGAUCAGAAAGAUUUCGCCCCCCAGCAUUAAUUGUCUUCAAACACUCCUGGGCUGUAAUAUGGUGGAGUGUAACAGCUGAUUGCUUUGGUGGCAUUUCAAUCAGAGUCUCUGCCUGAACCUUUCAGCUCAUUUUCACAGGUGCUGUCUACCCAGAUGGCAUAAAAAUGAAAAAGGAAUAGUCUCUGAUGCAGCGCCUGGGAUCAGAGGGGGAUUAUUCAGUUAGGAUUAAAAACAACCUCUUGUUUCGUGUCUCUUUGUUUACUCCCCCUUUCUCCUUGGUGUUUUUUAUCCUGAAUAUUACUAAAACUCACCUCCCAUGGUACAGUCCAACUCCAGCAACUCCCAUCCACCAAUGUCUCGUUUUGACUCAGCUGGCUCACACAGCAUGCAGCAAUCUCAUCACCAAGUCUGUAGGACUGAACGGGCCCGACCGCUGACAAAAAAUGCCGACUCAUUGUUUCAUCUCAAGCAUGAUAUAAAGAGACUUUAUUUCUUUACCGGGGAUUGUGAAAGGACUGCGGCGCAGCCUCACACGCACACAUUUGGUGGAACUCAGACUGAGCAGUCAGCAAUUCUAGUGUAAUCCAUAACCCUCUAUUUUACAUUCCCCUAUAUACUGCUUUUUUAAUGCUCUCACAGUGAUAAGCAAUGAGUGCAAUGGAGGAAUAAACUUUAAGGAAUAGGAUCACAAGGGAGUAGCAAGACAAUAACAUCAUGUUUGCAGAAUAUUUACAUCAGCGACUAGCAUGUGUAGCUUUUCAUUGACUAAAAAGAUGGUUGAUAAAACCUCCUACUCCCACUGUGCAGAACAGUGGGUCAAAAUACCCCCUCCAAUGACAGGCACUGGCAUCUUGCACAAAGCCAAUGCAGCAGUUCUGCAGGCAGACGGGUAGAUUAUAGAUAAACAUCCUCAUUCUCACCCACACUCCAUGCUCUAACUCAAUUGCAUGGAUUUCUACUAAAUGUUUGGGGCCAAGGCAUUGUUUGUUUAUCUCUGACUUCAACACGGCCGCCUCUGGAGGCCUCUGGCCGAGUGACAGCUCAGACACCAAGUUCACGCCAUUAUUCAUGAGAGCCAAUUAGCUGGUGGACACCAGCAGCCUGCAGAGAGCAGAUAGUGGAAGAGGAAAAUUCAUUCCUCGCUGGAACAUUCACUGAAACCUCUGGAAUUUCUUCCUGAGAUUUCUAAUAGUUUAAAACUGUAGAAAAAAAGGUAAAUAGUCAAUUAGCAUAUGCUUUUUUUAAGAUUAGGGCUUAAGUUUGCAGACAAUGCAUGGUAGUUUUGCAGGUUCAGUUUCCUCUACACCAUUUUUGUACAGUAAACUGGAAUAAACACCAUCAUCUUGCAGCUAGACGUACAUUUACUUUAAUGCCUAUAUGCAUAUUUUACAUGCAAAACCAAGUGGGCUGAAAACCCAAGCCAAUCCACCUCCUGUUAAAUGAUUUUUCUGGGGGGUGUGGGUGUAAUUAAUAAAAUCUUCCAAACAAUGAGAUUUAAGCGUAAUCCAGCUCAGUCUGGAAACUAAGCAUGACUAAGCAGCAGCAUCCUGAGAGGAUCAGGAGGGGACAGCAUUCGUAGGAGGAUGCUGCAGAAGUUUUUGCUGUUAUCUGAGUAAAUUCAGGCAGAGAUUCUACAGUCAUAAAAAGAAGCUUUUAUCAUCUUCAAUCAGUAGACAGCAGAAGAGACACCCAGAGUCUGAUUUACUCACUAUUAAAUGUCAGUAAUUGUGAAAAGUUAAUGAGGAAUAAGAAGCGUUAAAUUACUCUUAGUGCACCACUAAAAGAGAUUCUCUCAUUUUUAUUUUGACACCAGCAUGUUCAGGGAAAGAGAAGCCAACUCCUUUAAUUAGUUUAGUGUGUUUGUGCUCCACUGGUGGCUCUCUGAACAACAAUGAAUCCAAUCAGUCAUAAACCAUCUGGCACCUUUUAAAGCCAAUCUGAACAAUGUUUGGUUUUGGGUACAAAGAGUGCAAGGCUCCACAACAAAUUUCAACUGAUAGCUCUGUUUGAGGUUGUUUUUAUUUCCAUGAGGUUCACUGCUGCUUUUUCACCUCAUACCGUGGGUAGCAGAAGAUAGUCUUGAUAUUAUAAAUACUGUAUAUGCUUUUUUAGCCAAAUCUAGUGAAUCUUGUUUCUAUGUGCAGCUGAUUUGUUACAAAAUCUCCCCUUAGGUUCUCAAAGUAGAAUUUACACACCGACACUUUACCACACUGGUCCCCGGUUUGAAGCAAAUGUGUAAGAAUGCAGAUGCUAGUGAGUAAGUAAACACCACCUUAAUUUUCAAGGUGUCUGGACAGCCCGCCAAACUAGGCUUUGAUUUUCCUCAUUAAUAUCAAGUAUUAGCAAGUUUACACAGAUUGAAUGAUUGCUGGACUUCAAAUAGGCAUUCGAAGCAGUUGUUGUGGAUGUCUUAGAAAGAUCUGUGCUGUGUGGGGUCUUCUGGAUAAUAAGGGGGGUGACGCUGCUCCACCUGAACUCCCAUACUUCCAUUUGUGCUUGUCAUAGUUAAAUUGCUAUUUGAAUCUAUGGUUGGUUGUUCUUGUUAUUGCUGCAACAAUUUUGAAGCCUCUACUGUUAACAAUAGGUGUUCCACAAGGAUCAGUCCUGGGGCCUGUUUUGUUUACCAUCUAUAUCAGUAAUAUUGUGUCGUCUAUUACUGGCAAUGAUGUCAAUGUUUUUGCUGAUGACACUGCCCUGUAUUGCUCUGCUGGCUCUGUAUGGUUCAUUGUUGAGAGUUACAAUUUUGUUUUUAUGCCCUUUAAAGUUUACUGGCAUAUAAAAACAAGCCAAACUAAAUUCAUGCUUUUUUCAAGGGCAAGAGAUAUUGAUUUUAGUAGUCUGCAAAUAUCCACAAAGGAUGGUAGUACUAAUAUCUUAGUAUUUGACUUGAUGAAUAAUUUACUUUUGAAACGUAUACUGAAAACCUCAUCAUCAACAAAUCUGAGAAACUCAGAUUUUCUUUUGAAACAGAUCCAACAUCCCUCUUUGUGAGGAAAGUGUCACUGAACAGUCUGUCUUUCAGUUCUAGACUCUGGUGAAGUUCGAUAUAGACACACUGCAGCCUCCACCCUCAAAUAGACCAAUAAACCCAGAGCCCUACGGCACUCAUCAUGCAACUAGGUUGGGUGGUCCUCUCUGGCACAGAAGCAUGAUGAUUUUGUCACCUUUCCUCUGAAUCUUUGGGCUCCAAAUAUGUUGACUUAUUCACAAUAGACUCUGGAGAUGGACAUUUGUUUCUCUUGGUUAUUUUACUUUAGUACUUAAAUGUUUACUUCAGUAUUACUUCAGUAUUGUCAGACAUGGCUGCAGAGGGCAGAAAUGUGGUGUCAUUGUCACCGGGUUUGGUGACUCAACCUUCACUGUCACCCCUGUCCUGCCUUCACUGUUAAAAUUCAGAGGGAGGUUUCGUCCCAGAGGCUCUUUGUUCAUCCAAUAUUCAUGUUCAGCCGUCUUCUGCUGGUCUUUCCCUAUAGAUUUCAACACCACAGAGACUCUGCAUGAGCCAAACUGUUCUUCUUCUCUACAGCCUUGCAACAUCAACUAUUCUUUCUUUAAUCUUCAUCCAUUUUUUGUAAGCUUUAAUUAUUCAUCCUUUUAUGAGUCUCUUUUCUCUGACUGAACCCAAAAACAGCCUCAUGCAUAAGCUUGUGUUUGGCUCUGGUGAUUUUAAUUUAAUUUUUAUUUAACUUUUAAUCCUCUGCAUACAGUUUAUAACCAUAUAAUGCAUAUAGACAGAGUAUUUCAGAGAAAAGCAUUUGUUUCCAUCCCCUGUGGCAAUCCGGGGGUACAAACAAUCACUCACAUUGACAGAGUCACUCAGUCUGCUAUUGAUCUCCAUUGUGUACUUGGAGCCCUCAGAUCAAGCUUCAGGGAUUUCACACUUAUGCUUUUGUCACAUUGUUGUACUUGAUUUUGAUGAGGUAGAAAUCUUUUCCUGCUACACAUGACUUUUAGGUCAUUUUCUGUCUCUGCAACAUCCUUCACAGUUUUUUUUGAUGGAGGACAAAGAUGUUUCUGACCUAACACUGCAAACUGAGCCACAUACUUUCUUUCAUGAGUAAAAAGAUCGAGACUUACAUCAAAUGUCAACCCAGAAGCUACAAAACUGCUGCUUUUUACUAACUAUAAAUGCCAUUGGCACCAUGGUAUUAGUGGUUAUAUACCCAUAUUGGAAAAUACUGACUAAACCCCACCUGUAGUCAACCUACGAACAAUGAGGUGAAGUUUGGGCUAGCUCUAAGCCCCUAGGAAAUAACAACUGUGUAUCUAUUUGUAUGGCAGUUUAGCUAUGCCUGUAAUUAUUUAUUGUAUAUUAUAUAUGAUUUUUUAUGUCUAAGUGUAUUUUCUUAAUUGAUUGGCUUUAAAAAAUGUACUUUCUGUGCAGUUUAUAAGACCUAGUUAUCAAGUUGCAUACCCAAAACCAUAUUUUCAAUCAGGGUGUAAAUAUGUUACUUUUUGUUGGAAAGUUGGGCAUCAACAUGGGACCAAUGGGUAUUCCUUAGUUUUGGAGCAAGCCUCAAGUGGACACAUGAGGAACUGCAGUUUCUUUCUUUAUUUUUUUUGUUCUUUUCCUUUUUUUUGUUGCACUUUUGUAUUGACUUGAAAAUGGGACACAAGUUUGGUCAAUUGAGGUUUGCAUCCAGUAUACAGUACAGUCUGUGGACCUUGUUGUUGCAGUCACCGGUUUGAUUCCCAUCCCCAUGUCAACCCCGAUCCUCUAUUCCCCAUGUUAGUCCAGACUUCCCUCUCCCUGGUCACUCUGUCUGUCUCUUCCUGGGGUAUCUUGAGGCAUUCCUAGGCCAGCUAAAACACAUACUCUCUCCAUUGUGCCCUGGGUUUUCCCUGUGGUCUCCUACUGGUAGAAUGUGCUCUAAACACCUCACCAGUGAGGCAUCUGGGAGGCAUCCUGAUUAGAUGCCAAAGCCACUUCAUCACCUCUCUUCAGCCGUCCUGCUGUUUAGCUAGCCAACAAAUUCCUCGUGUUUUGGUAUGAGAUUUGAAAAUUAUCCAAUUAUUGUAACCAGAUCAAUAACGUAAAAACAUUUUAAUUGUCUGGACCGAAACCAGAUUAAAGGAAACAUAGCCUUUGUGACUAAGAAAUGACGAAGAAUGGAGUCAUUUGAAGAAAGGGCCACUGAAACAGAAACUCCUCAUAUCCUAAUCACAAACCAGGGGACAGAUGUUAAGUCAUUUUCAAUAGUGUUGACAACUUUAACUGACGAUGGCAUCGAAUUGUGUUUAAUUAGUAGAAGGCCAGAAGGCUUUUAAAUGAGCAAACUUACUGUUAGCCUUCAUUGGUAUUAACACUCACCUGACUCCAGCUGCAGGGUUUAUUUCAACCAAUGCAAUACUUUCUGGCUCCUUAGAAAGUUUCCUCAUCAAGAACUUGUAUGAAAAAAAAAAGUCAAUCUGCUGGAGAAGUGCUACAGGAAUGACAAAGGAGCAAGCCAAGUGUGGAAUAUACUGUACAGAGAGGAAGAACUAACAGACUGAUAGACAGAUGGAGGGAAAUGGACUGGCAGCAGAGCAGGCAGAAGGAAAAGUGUAUUGAUUCAAAACAUUGGUGGGUGAAGAGGGAGACAAUAAGGUGGAGAAUGAGUCAGAGAGGAAAAAUUGUGAGGAACAAUGUGUGACAGUAAAAAAAAAGAAGACAUGAUAGAGUGGAGUUUAAGAGAAGGUCAGAUGAUUAAUCCACAGCUAAAAUAAGCCCAGCGAAGAAGGAACAUGGCAAUUUAACAGCAUUUUGGAUAUAAUUUAAUAGCACUGUAAUGUUUCAGAGCUGGGAUAAAUUAUCAAAAUUGACCUCAUGUUCAUAAUGAUUCAUAGAGAAUCAAUCCAGGACUUGUUUAUUAUUCAAAAACCACAACAUUUUUACCUAAUGUUUUUGUCGAUGCCAAAAAAGGAAGGUAAUCACUGUGUUGGAAGUAAAUGCCCAGUAUUAAACCAACAAAUGAAUCACGACCUAAUAGCCUUUGGCCUGAAAGCCUGAACAAAGAUAUUACAAAAAAUCGAUGUAGUUUCAGUGACGUCAUGCAUUGGUUCCUGGAGAGGCUUUUAAGACCCGACACUGAGGGCUGGAAAUGCUGAGUCAUCCUAACUUUCAGUCAACCGCCAAACAAACUAAGAGCUUAUGGCAGGAAACAGCAACAAUGCACCCACCAUAUGACAAUUAAGAGUAAUAACGCGUCAUUUUUAGGAUAAAGGUUUUGGCCUUUACAUUAUGGAUUAUGCACAUGUUAGCUGGUUGUUAUGCUAAAUAGACCCUUCACCGGGUGAGAUUAGCACUGGUAUAAGGUCCUCUUUCCUGUAAGUUAUUGACACCUUCUCUCAGCUCAACUGAACCUCUAACACCGCCAAAAUCCAUAUCAUAUCACAGGUCCUGGUUGCUUUGUUUUCCUCAAUUUGGUUGAUGUCUCUUUGUUUGUUUUGGACUCUUAUUUUCUGCGCUUUUCCACAGUUCUCAUUGUCCUGUCUGUGAAAUGAUUUGUUGGACUUGUACUGUGUGCACAGGUGGCACUGCAUUAAAGAAGAGAAAAAGUGGAAAUCAUUGCAUCAGCUCAAAACCACUUCCUGCACUUCUAUUGUCUGGAAACACAGUUCAUUGCUGCAUUUACACACAAAGUGGAAACCGUAUACAUUAACACAACUUCUCUUGGCUUGGGCUUCAUAUUUACUAUGAUGAGGCAAAGUGGAAAACUGUCCUGUGGUCCGAGGAAUCAAAAUAAGACAUUCUUUGUGGAAAUAACGGAUGUGGUGUCCUCCACUUUAAAGAUAGGGACCUGUUUGUUAUCAGCACAAAUUUCAAAAGCCAGUAAUUGUGAUAAUAUGGUAAUGCAUUUUGCCAGUGACAUGGCUAUAGCUUACACAUCUUAGAAGGCAUCAAUAAUACUGAGCAAUAUAUACAGGUUUCCUAGCAAUAUAAGCUGCCAUUUAAACAAUGGCUUUUUCAGGGAAGACCCUGCACUUUUUUUAAAAUAGACAAGACAAUGCCAAACCUCAUGAUAAUACAGCACAGCUCUGAGGUAGAAGAGUCCAGGUGCUGAACUGGCCUUCCAUUGUUCUGACCAGCCAUCUACUCAAGACAUUUGACACAUCAUAAAAUGAAUAAAGAAAAAAAAAAUAAUAAUAAUACAACAAAGGAGACUGAACAGUAAACAUUCCACUUCAGAAACCGGUCUUCUAAGGUCCUUAGAUAUUUACAGAGAGUGCUCAAAAGGAAAGAUGAUGCAACAUGAUGCAAAGAUGCUCCUAUCCCAACUUUAUAGGUGUUCCUGACAUCAAAUUGUUAAUGAUUAUUUUGAGUAAUGAGUACUCAAAAUAAUGAGUAAUUAUGGCUCACACUUUCAGGGAACAUAUUUUGGCACUUAGGUGUGCAAUUUCUCACGGAAUAGAUGGCACAAUCAUGUGACCAUGUUCUCAUCUAAAUAUCAGGAUUUUUUAAUUUCACUUAAUUUUUUUUACUUUUUUGUAGCCACUUUCCUUUUGCCAAUUUCACCCCUAAAAUUAAAGUUUUAGAAAAAAGGUUAAACUGCCUAACCUGUGCUAAUUACAAGGAACUUUCAAGGGCUUUUUUUUCCGGCAGCCUCUAUUGAAAUUCAAUGACAGCCCACAUUAGGAUUCACUGAGCGAACAGGCAUCAACUUUCUCCU